UACGUAGGGUCCGAGCGUUGUCCGGAAUUACUGGGCGUAAAGAGCUCGUAGGUGGUUUGUCGCGUUGUUCGUGAAAACUCACAACUCAAUUGUGGGCGUGCGGGCGAUACGGGCAGACUAGAGUUCGGUAGGGGAGACUGGAAUUCCUGGUGUAGCGGUGAAAUGCGCAGAUAUCAGGAGGAACACCGGUGGCGAAGGCGGGUCUCUAGGCCGACACUGACGCUGAGGAGCGAAAGCGUGGGGAGCGAACAGG
rnacentral:rRNA from 1 species